AACGAACGCUGGCGGCAGGCCUAACACAUGCAAGUCGAACGCCCCGCAAGGGGAGUGGCAGACGGGUGAGUAACACGUGGGAACGUACCCUUCGGUUCGGAAUAACCCAGGGAAACUUGGGCUAAUACCGGAUACGUCCGUGAGGAGAAAGAUUUAUCGCCGAAGGAUCGGCCCGCGUCGGAUUAGCUUGUUGGCGGGGUAAUGGCCUACCAAGGCGACGACGGGUAGCCGGCCUGAGAGGGCGACCGGCCACACUGGGACNGAGACACGGCCCAGACUCCUACGGGAGGCAGCAGUGGGGAAUCUUGCGCAAUGGGCGAAAGCCUGACGCAGCGACGCCGCGUGAGGGAUGACGGCCU
rnacentral:rRNA from 1 species